CCUACGGUGUGCAGCAGUGAGGAAUAUUGGUCAAUGGACGAGAGUCUGAACCAGCCAAGUAGCGUGAAGGAUGACUGCCCUAUGGGUUGUAAACUUCUUUUAUAUGGGAAUAAAACGUUCCACGUGUGGGAUUUUGUAUGUACCAUAUGAAUAAGGAUCGGCUAACUCCGUGCCAGCAGCCGCGGUAAUACGGAGGAUGCGAGCGUUAUCCGGAUUUAUUGGGUUUAAAGGGUGCGUAGGCGGACGCUUAAGUCAGCGGUAAAAUUGCGGGGCUCAACCUCGUCGAGCCGUUGAAACUGGGUGCCUUGAGUGGGCGAGAAGUACGCGGAAUGCGUGGUGUAGCGGUGAAAUGCAUAGAUAUCAGGAGGAACAUCGGUGGCGUAAGCGCUUUACUGGGCCGUAAUUGACGCUGAGGAACGAAAGCCAGGGUAGCAAAUGGGAUUAGAUACCCUAGUAGUC
rnacentral:rRNA from 1 species